GCAUAAUUGACGCAAAGGCUAAGGCCGCGAAUCAGGAGCCAUUUCGUGGAAGUGAAGAAACAAGGUGGGAGAAUUACGCGCGACCUGUCCAGACAAAGGUUAAUUCAUGCGAAUACUCGGCGCAUACGCUUGUCGAAGCGACGAGUAAUGGACGGCCGGUAACUUGAGAAAUAUUCGAUUCCGUUCGACGUUUCAUUAAACCGCACGACGCCGCAGUCUCCGCAACGCGACGGCAUCUCGCCGCUGGACCGGGAGCCGGAGAAGGAUAGCGGGAUCGCGAGUCCAUCCCGCGAGAAGAGCGGAGAGAGGCGGGAAUGUGACGUGGAUGAACAGAGGAGGGGAACAGAACGCGGGAGAGAACGAGGGAAAGAGGCUCUCUCUUUAUCGAGUACCCGGCAGACAAAUCCAGGCGGUCUUUCAUCUCCGUCUCUAAAUGCGAUACUCGAGAAAACGGACAUCACCCACAUACCUGUCCAGGCCAUUGGCUCCGCCGUGCCAACGCGAACGUACGCAUGCACGCAGCAAGCAAUCACGUACGCACGUACGAGACGCGCACACGUAAACGUCGCGCGUGAGAAGCGAACGAUUUGUGUACCUUGGAGUAUUAGGCGAACGAUACGGACCACUUAAGGAUUUCUUAACCAAUAGCCAUAGCAUUUCGCCAAAGGGGACACUCGAUCAGCUGCGACUGAGAGAGAAGCGCGCUCCAACAUGUCGGCUACCUAUUUAUGCACGCAUCAUUAAUCGCUCCAAAUAAAACGUAACUCGAAGUCGAUCAUGCCGA
rnacentral:lncRNA from 13 species